rnacentral:rRNA from 1 species
UAGAGUUUGAUCCUGGCUCAGGAUGAACGCUAGCUACAGGCUUAACACAUGCAAGUCGAGGGGCAGCAUGUUGUGUGCUUGCACACAAUGAUGGCGACCGGCGCACGGGUGAGUAACGCGUAUCCAACCUUCCCAUGACUCCGGUUCAGCCCGCCGAAAGGCGGAUUACUCCCGGAUGGUUUCCGAAGAGGGCAUCUGAUUUGGAAUAAAGAUUGAUCGGUCAUGGAUGGGGAUGCGUCUGAUUAGGCAGCAGGCGGGGUAACGGCCCACCUGGCCUACGAUCAGUAGGGGUUCUGAGAGGAAGGUCCCCCACACUGGAACUGAGACACGGUCCAGACUCCUACGGGAGGCAGCAGUGAGGAAUAUUGGUCAAUGGGCGAGAGCCUGAACCAGCCAAGUAGCGUGCAGGAUGACGGCCCUAGGGGUUGUAAACUGCUUUUAUAUGAGGAUAAAGUUCGUUACGUGUAACGUUUUGCAGGUAUCAUAUGAAUAAGGACCGGCUAAUUCCGUGCCAGCAGCCGCGGUAAUACGGAAGGUCCGGGCGUUAUCCGGAUUUAUUGGGUUUAAAGGGAGCGCAGACGGUCAGUUAAGCGUGCAGUUAAAUGAUGUGGCUCAACCAUGUUAUGCUGCGCGAACUGGCUGACUUGAGUUCACGGAACGUGGGCGGAAUUUGUGGUGUAGCGGUGAAAUGCUUAGAUAUCACGAAGAACUCCGAUUGCGAAGGCAGCUGGCGGGGGCGCAACUGACGCUCGUGCUCGAAAGUGCGGGUAUCGAACAGGAUUAGAUACCCUGGUAGUCCGCACGGUAAACGAUGGAUGCCCGCUAUGCGCGCGUUGGCGUGCGUGGCCAAGCGAAAGCGUUAAGCAUCCCACCUGGGGAGUACGCCGGCAACGGUGAAACUCAAAGGAAUUGACGGGGGCCCGCACAAGCGGAGGAACAUGUGGUUUAAUUCGAAGCAACGCGAAGAACCUUACCAGGGCUUGGCAUAACAGCGACCGGUGUAGAGAUACACUUUUCCUUCGGGACGCUGCUACAGGUGGUGCAUGGUUGUCGUCAGCUCGUGUCGUGAGAUGUUGGGUUAAGUCCCGCAACGAGCGCAACCCUUGUCAUUAGUUGCUACGCGAGAGCACUCUAAUGAGACCGCUACCGACAAGGUGGAGGAAGGUGGGGAUGACGUCAAGUCAUCAUGGCCCUUACGGUCAGGGCCACACACGUGCUACAAUGGGGCGUACAGAGGGAUGCGAGGCCGCGAGGCCGAGCGGAACCCUUAAAGCGCCCCCAAGUUCGGACUGGAGCCUGCAACCCGGCUCCACGAAGUCGGAAUCGCUAGUAAUCGCAGAUCAGAACGCUGCGGUGAAUACAAUGCCGGGCCUUGCACACACCGCCCGUCAAG